CACCACCGCUGUUUGGACUGCACGGAACCACCGCUGGAUGGGACCGCAGCAUGUGGUCUAUGUAAGCGGCAACCAGCAGAUUAAUGGUCACCCUGAGGAGGUCAAUGCAGCCGGUCAGAAAACGAGAUGACUUUACCGACACCAAGCGGCUACCGGAAGCUGCUACGUUAUGGGUCGGAUCCUCGAGCCGGACUGAAGGAAGCUGCGCUACAUUGUAGAAGUUGCUGCCUGCAGUGGCUGCGGGCUUAAGAAUGUGUUGUGAAGGCGGCGAAGUGCAUACAAUACGCCAACAUCUGUCCAAUAUCAACCGAAUGAGGACAUUCGUACACGGUGGGAUGGCCGAAAAGAGAAGAGGAAACUGCAGCUUAGCGAUAGUGGAUGUGUUUAUUAUCUUUUAUUUUAUUUUUAUUUGUUUUUUUGUUUCCCCGAGUAUGUUGGGGUUUGUUCCUACUAACUCUAAGAAGACUUCCUAUUUUGACAAAUGGCGUCAUUGGUGAACAAGUGAUAAAAGACUGAUUAAAGAACACAAGUUUAACUGCAAUCGUGUGAAAAUUAAUGGAGGCCUUUAUAUCGAUAAUCGGCUAAGUGAUUGAUCUCAAUUUUUUUUAAAUCAUUAUUAGUACAUAACAUUGUUCAAAGAUUUUAAGGCUAAGUGUUAAAGGUUAGAUUAUGUUUAUCUAUGUCCUGUGCCUGGGACAGGCACUAAUUCAGGAUGGUCGACUGUUAAAGAUUUCAUAGUUUUACCUUAUAAAAGAUGUAUUUUUAUAAGGUGGCAACUCAAUAUAUGCCAGCUGUCAGGGCAUUCGAAUAAAAAACGAAACUCUAGUAGUGACGAUCUGUAAUAAAAAUAUCAAUAAAUAAGUGAAGAACCUGUG